rnacentral:antisense_RNA from 1 species
CACCCGGGACCCACUUCGGAGUUCGCCCCCUUUGGGACUCGCCUCCGGGAGACCCCCGAGGGGGCCGACAGCCUGGAUUGCUGACAGGCCGCGAGCGUGGCCUUGGGCCCAGGGUGUCCCGGACUCAGCACUGACGUUCCCGGAAAGAGCCCACGUUGAGUAGGAGCUGAGACCUGCAGGACACAGGAACUCCUCCCAGGGUCCUGGAUCCAGCUGCUGCUCACGGCAGGAGGCCCGAAACCAGAAGGCCUGAGCACUUGCCCCAUCCCCAAGAGAUGCACGGAGGCUGGAAGGGGCAGUGCAGGGGCUGACCAACCUGCUCA